rnacentral:misc_RNA from 1 species
AUGUCUGCCUCAGCGUCGGGUU